CACAACUUUAAAUAUUCAAGCACAACUUUAAAUAUAAUGUAUCUAAUUAACGUUACAGGUACAAAAAUUCAUUUUACUACCAAUAUAAACUAUGAAAUGAAAAAAAUACAAUACAACAAUUUGCCAAUAAUGACCGGUAGUAAAGGAAAUCCAGAAAUUUUGGUGUGCACAUUCUAUACAGACGGCGUACCACUCAUAAUAUUCAAUAUUCAAUCUCCAACCAUGAAAGCAAAAGUGAAAGAGAAAAAACAUCCAAAACCAAACAUACAAAAAAAAAACAAAUAUUUGGUACAAAGUUAA